ensembl:misc_RNA 7SK 7SK RNA
GGAUGUGAGGGCGAUCUGGCUGUGACAUCUGUCACCCCAAUGAUCGCCAGGGUUGAUUUGGCUGAUCUGGCUGGCUAAGUGGGUGUCCCCCUCCUUCCUCACUGCUCCAUGGGAGUCCCUCUCGAAGCUGCACACUUGGUCAAAGAGGAUGGCCUUCCCCAAAUAGAGAUGAACCGGUCUUCAGUUGAGGGUAUACGAGUAGCCACAUUCCCCUGCUAGAAACUCCAAAACAAGCUCUCAAGAAUACAGAAAUAAGUCAAAGAAUACAGUGAAAUAGCUCACUUGGAUGGUGAUUGCUUUCCCAU